CACACACAUACACACAGAGUAUAAAUUUUAAACAAACAAUUUAAUACUGUACACAGCAACGAUGAUUGUGACUCUUGGUUGAGGCGGUGGAGUCAGAGCGUGGGAUAUUUCCCAGGGAAUGCCUUACUGCUAAAUGAUGAACUAGCACUCGGCUGAGCCCCUAAGGGUUAAUGCAUUGUUGUUAAUGCAGCCUCACACUCUAUAAGACAGCACGAAUGGGGGGGGAGGGGAGAUAAGACAGCAUGGUAGAGAGAGACAUAGAGACACACCCUGUGUGUGAGAGAGAGACUUUGAGACAGCAGCUGCUGCCAGCAAGCUCCCUCCAU